rnacentral:rRNA from 1 species
CAUGUGGCUUAAUUUGACUCAACGCGGGAAAUCUUACCGGGUCCGGACACACUGAGGAUUGACAGGCAAUAUAUGUGACUCUUCGGAGUUUGCAUUGUUAAAUAUGCUAGUCCUUUCAUGAUUAUGUGAUAGGUGGUGCAUGGCCGUUCUUAGUUCGUGGAGUGAUCUGUCUGCUUAAUUGCGUUUCAAAUUACUUAUAAGGUAGCAAUACGCGAUGAAGCUUUCAAUAGUCCUCACGGAUUCACUUGAGUCUCUCGCUUCGCUAUCCUUUCGAAUGCAACGAACGNGACCGCAACCUCUUGUUGCC